rnacentral:rRNA from 1 species
CCUACGGGAGGCAGCAGUGAGGAAUAUUGGUCAAUGGUCGGGAGACUGAACCAGCCAAGCCGCGUGAGGGAUGAAGGUACAGAGUAUCGUAAACCUCUUUUGUCAGGGAACAAAGGCGGGGACGUGUCCCCGGAUGAGUGUACCUGAAGAAAAAGCAUCGGCUAACUCCGUGCCAGCAGCCGCGGUAAUACGGAGGAUGCGAGCGUUAUCCGGAUUUAGUGGGUUGAAAGGGUGCGCAGGUGGUCUGUUAAGUCAGCGGUCAAAGCCCGGGGCUCAACCCCGGCCCGCCGUUGAAACUGGCAGUCUCGAGUUGGAGAGAAGUAUGCGGAAUGCGCGGUGUAGCGGUGAAAUGCAUAGAUAUCGCGCAGAACUCCGAUUGCGAAGGCAGCAUGCCGGCUCCACACUGACGCUGAGGCACGAAAGCGUGGGUAUCGAACAGGAUUAGAUACCCCAGUAGUC